AUGUGCUCUGAUUGGCUCGGUUCGGGUUCGAAUGGAAGGGAAUUAAAUGGAAGUUUUCUCCUUAAUCCGUACAAAACGGGUUAUUGGGGACUUAUGAGAGAUAGUAUGCUUAUUCAACUAGAAUGAUUUGAAAUAUAAUAAGAAUGAUUGGUAAGAUAUCUCGUAAACCCGUGAACAUGUAUUACAAGCGAAUGAAAAUGUUAAGUGCACUACGCUAAUGUAUAUGUUUUAUUGAAUGGUUGUAGGUAAAGCACAAGUUUAAUCGUCGUUGCGUCACUCGGAUAUGAACACACCUUGAUCACCCGUGAUGCGCUUCCGCCUCUUUUGUAGUAAUUUCAAAUGUUAAUAGUUUUGUAAUGUCUAGUUGUGUUGAAGUCUUUAAUCUUUAACUAGUCGUUUGCAAGUAUUUAGUACUUAGAACUCAAUGUUUGAAAUGGUGGUUGAAAAUGUUAUGUUCUUUUGGUGUUUUAGGGAAAGUGUCGUAGUUUGAGUAUUUUGA
rnacentral:lncRNA from 1 species